CGGCCCUUGUCCCGCCCGGCUGACCUUAUUGCAACGCAAGGAAAGGGAAUCCCCUUUGGCUACUUCUCCUGAUGAAGUGGGAGAAUACAGAAGUCCAGAUAUUAGUGGAGAAAAAUGAUCCGGGGAGUAGAGUGAAGUAUGAA